GUGUCAGCCGCCGCCGGUAAUACGGAGGGUGCAAGCGUUAAUCGGAUUUACUGGGCGUAAGGCGCGCGUAGGCGGCUAAUUAAGUCAAAUGUGAAAUCCCCGAGCUUAACUUGGGAAUUGCAUUCGAUACUGGUUAGCUAGAGUGUGGGAGAGGAUGGUAGAAUUCCAGGUGUAGCGGUGAAAUGCGUAGAGAUCUGGAGGAAUACCGAUGGCGAAGGCAGCCAUCUGGCCUAACACUGACGCUGAGGUGCGAAAGCAUGGGGAGCAAACAGGAUUAGAUACCCCUGUAGUCC
rnacentral:rRNA from 1 species